GCCAGACUCCUACGGGAGGCAGCAGUGAGGAAUAUUGGUCAAUGGGCGGGAGCCUGAACCAGCCAAGCCGCGUGAGGGAGGAAGGCGCAGAGCGUCGCAGACCUCUUUUGCCGGGGGACAAAAGGCCGGACUCGUCCGGUCCUGAGGGUACCCGGAGAAAAAGCAUCGGCUAACUCCGUGCCAGCAGCCGCGGUAAUACGGAGGAUGCGAGCGUUAUCCGGAUUUAUUGGGUUUAAAGGGUGCGUAGGCGGUUUGAUAAGUUAGAGGUGAAAUGUCGGGGCUCAACCCCGAAACUGCCUCUAAUACUGUUGGACUAGAGAAUAGUUGCGGUAGGCGGAAUGUAUGGUGUAGCGGUGAAAUGCUUAGAGAUCAUACAGAACACCGAUUGCGAAGGCAGCUUACCAAACUAUAUCUGACGUUGAGGCACGAAAGCGUGGGUAGCAAACAGGAUUAGAUACCCCAGUAA
rnacentral:rRNA from 1 species